rnacentral:rRNA from 1 species
GACGAACGCUGGCGGCGUGCUUAACACAUGCAAGUCGAACGGUAAGGCCCCCUCGGGGGUACACGAGUGGCGAACGGGUGAGUAACACGUGAGCAACCUGCCCUUGACUCUGGAAUAACAGUUGGAAACAGCUGCUAAUACUGGAUAUGCACCGGGCCCCUCCUGGGGUGUGGUGGAAAGCUCCGGCGGUCAGGGAUGGGCUCGCGGCCUAUCAGCUUGUUGGUGAGGUAAUGGCUCACCAAGGCUUCGACGGGUAGCCGGCCUGAGAGGGCGACCGGCCACACUGGGACUGAGAUACGGCCCAG